CACAGAGACAAGUUCUAAUUCUUCCACGCAAUCAACACCUACAGUCACCCCACCAGUUUCCCAAACUUCCACUCAAGGCAAUAAUGACACAGACACACCCACACGCACCUCCAGCCAUUCAAACAUAACCACAGCUGGAGCAG